CCUACGGGAGGCAGCAGUGAGGAAUAUUGGUCAAUGGCCGCAGGGCUGAACCAGCCAAGUCGCGUGAGGGAUGACGGUCCUAUGGAUUGUAAACCUCUUUUGUCAGGGAGCAAAGGGCGCCACGUGUGGCGCUUUGCGAGUACCUGAAGAAAAAGAAUCGGCUAACUCCGUGCCAGCAGCCGCGGUAAUACGGAGGAUGCGAGCGUUAUCCGGAUUUAUUGGGUUAAAAGGGUGCGCAGGCGGAAUGUCAAGUCAGCGGUAAAAUUUCGGGGCUCAACCCCGUCGUGCCGUUGAAACUGGCGUUCUUGAGUGAGCGAGAAGUAUGCGGAAUGCGUGGUGUAGCGGUGAAAUGCAUAGAUAUCACGCAGAACUCCGAUUGCGAAGGCAGCAUACCGGCGCUCAACUGACGCUCAUGCACGAAAGCGUGGGUAUCGAACAGGAUUAGAUACCCGGGUAGUC
rnacentral:rRNA from 1 species